AAUGUUGUUUGAUUUCUUCACCUUCAAUUGGUGCAUCGCCCUCAGUGAACAAACCGUUUGAUUCUCCCUUCCAUGGUCUUGCUCAACCAGCAAGCGAAAACAGCAAAGCAAACAAGACAAACUGCCAUGCGUCUCCAUCGUAUUGCAGAGAAUGUUCAUUUCAGCCGUGCACUCUUUCUUGUGCACGAAAAUAGCGUGUAUGGACACAGCAGGAAUGUGCAUUUGUAUUGGCAUUUCUAUAGCAACAGUGGCGUUGUGUAGGUAAAAUCUGGUUCACUCCAAUUUGUGCACCCGAGAGAGAAAUUGCCGAUGAUGCUCGCAUCACGCUA